GUGGGGAAUAUUGCGCAAUGGGGGAAACCCUGACGCAGCGACGCCGUGUGAGGGAAGAAGGCCUUCGGGUUGUAAACUGCUUUUGUACGGAACGAAACGGUCCUGGCUAAUACCUGGGGCUAAUGACGGUACCGUAAGAAUAAGCACCGGCUAACUACGUGCCAGCAGCCGCGGUAAUACGUAGGGUGCGAGCGUUAAUCGGAAUUACUGGGCGUAAAGCGUGCGCAGGCGGUGCUGUAAGACAGGCGUGAAAUCCCCGGGCUCAACCUGGGAAUUGCGCUUGUGACUGCAGUGCUGGAGUGCGGCAGAGGGGGAUGGAAUUCCGCGUGUAGCAGUGAAAUGCGUAGAUAUGCGGAGGAACACCGAUGGCGAAGGCAAUCCCCUGGGCCUGCACUGACGCUCAUGCACGAAAGCGUGGGGAGCAAACAGGAUUAGAAACCCCGGUAGUCC
rnacentral:rRNA from 1 species